ACUCCUGUUCGCCAGAACCCCCGAUCUUGUAUAGGCCUCGGAAGCCUUACACGAGAUACAGCAUGGAGGUACGGGACAAAUUAAAAAUCAUCCAUCCGAACCUUAAUGUAUAUAAGAUGGGAGAGCUCAUUGGCUCCAUGUGGCAGGGGCUGAGCGAGGCUGAGAAACAGGUCUAUAGGGACGACUAUCAGAGGGAGAAGAAUCAGAAUAUUGACAGACUGGGCGAUGAAAACCCAAAUGCACAGAUUCCUAUGUUCUCUGCAUUUUUAAGGUAAUCAA